rnacentral:rRNA from 1 species
GUUUGAUCCUGGCUCAGGAUGAACGCUAGCUACAGGCUUAACACAUGCAAGUCGAGGGGAAACGAUAUUGAAAGCUUGCUUUCGAUAGGCGUCGACCGGCGCACGGGUGAGUAACGCGUAUCCAACCUGCCCAUAACUAAGGGAUAAUCCGUAGAAAUGCGGUCUAAUACCUUAUGUGUUCCGAGGAAGACAUCUGAUUUGGAUUAAAGAUUUAUCGGUUAUGGAUGGGGAUGCGUCUGAUUAGAUUGUUGGCGGGGCAACGGCCCACCAAGUCUGCGAUCAGUAGGGGUUCUGAGAGGAAGGUCCCCCACAUUGGAACUGAGACACGGUCCAAACUCCUACGGGAGGCAGCAGUGAGGAAUAUUGGUCAAUGGGCGGGAGCCUGAACCAGCCAAGUAGCGUGCAGGAUGACGGCCCUAUGGGUUGUAAACUGCUUUUGUAUGGGGAUAAAUUGCUCCACGUGUGGAGUAUUGCAGGUACCAUACGAAUAAGGACCGGCUAAUUCCGUGCCAGCAGCCGCGGUAAUACGGAAGGUCCGGGCGUUAUCCGGAUUUAUUGGGUUUAAAGGGAGCGUAGGCCGUGGAUUAAGUGUGUUGUGAAAUGUAGGCGCUCAACGUCUGACUUGCAGCGCAUACUGGNCCACUAGAGUGCGCGCAACGCGGGCGGAAUUUGUCGUGUAGCGGUGAAAUGCUUAGAUAUGACGAAGAACCCCGAUUGC